rnacentral:rRNA from 1 species
AUUGAACGCUGGCGGCAGGCCUAACACAUGCAAGUCGAGCGGUAGCACAGAGAGCUUGCUCUCGGGUGACGAGCGGCGGACGGGUGAGUAAUGUCUGGGAAACUGCCUGAUGGAGGGGGAUAACUACUGGAAACGGUAGCUAAUACCGCAUAACGUCGCAAGACCAAAGUGGGGGACCUUCGGGCCUCAUGCCAUCAGAUGUGCCCAGAUGGGAUUAGCUAGUAGGUGGGGUAACGGCUCACCUAGGCGACGAUCCCUAGCUGGUCUGAGAGGACGACCAGCCACACUGGAACUGAGACACGGUCCAGACUCCUACGGGAGGCAGCAGUGGGGAAUAUUGCACAAUGGGCGCAAGCCUGAUGCAGCCAUGCCGCGUGUGUGAAGAAGGCCUUCGGGUUGUAAAGCACUUUCAGCGGGGAGGAAGGCGGUGAGGUUAAUAACCUCAUCGAUUGACGUUACCCGCAGAAGAAGCACCGGCUAACUCCGUGCCAGCAGCCGCGGUAAUACGGAGGGUGCAAGCGUUAAUCGGAAUUACUGGGCGUAAAGCGCACGCAGGCGGUCUGUCAAGUCGGAUGUGAAAUCCCCGGGCUCAACCUGGGAACUGCAUUCGAAACUGGCAGGCUAGAGUCUUGUAGAGGGGGGUAGAAUUCCAGGUGUAGCGGUGAAAUGCGUAGAGAUCUGGAGGAAUACCGGUGGCGAAGGCGGCCCCCUGGACAAAGACUGACGCUCAGGUGCGAAAGCGUGGGGAGCAAACAGGAUUAGAUACCCUGGUAGUCCACGCCGUAAACGAUGUCGAUUUGGAGGUUGUGCCCUUGAGGCGUGGCUUCCGGAGCUAACGCGUUAAAUCGACCGCCUGGGGAGUACGGCCGCAAGGUUAAAACUCAAAUGAAUUGACGGGGGCCCGCACAAGCGGUGGAGCAUGUGGUUUAAUUCGAUGCAACGCGAAGAACCUUACCUGGUCUUGACAUCCACAGAACUUUCCAGAGAUGGAUUGGUGCCUUCGGGAACUGUGAGACAGGUGCUGCAUGGCUGUCGUCAGCUCGUGUUGUGAAAUGUUGGGUUAAGUCCCGCAACGAGCGCAACCCUUAUCCUUUGUUGCCAGCGGUUAGGCCGGGAACUCAAAGGAGACUGCCAGUGAUAAACUGGAGGAAGGUGGGGAUGACGUCAAGUCAUCAUGGCCCUUACGACCAGGGCUACACACGUGCUACAAUGGCAUAUACAAAGAGAAGCGACCUCGCGAGAGCAAGCGGACCUCAUAAAGUAUGUCGUAGUCCGGAUUGGAGUCUGCAACUCGACUCCAUGAAGUCGGAAUCGCUAGUAAUCGUAGAUCAGAAUGCUACGGUGAAUACGUUCCCGGGCCU